GUCUCCCAGCAGGGAGCAGGCUGCCUGGGGCUGGGCUGUCCUCAGGCUGUGGCCCCACCGGUGACCAGCGCUGGCCUGUGGGUGCUCGGCUCCUGGGCUUCACCUCUUCAAGGAGGGAGCUUGGAAUUGUGGAGAGAGGAGGCAGCCCGGCCAAGAAGUGAGCCACAAGCCUGCGGAGCCCGGAGGCCACCCCGUGAUGCCCAGCACCUCCCCCGGACCGCACUAAGGAGGCUGUAUCUCGAGGGACCCGUGGAACUGAUGGGGAUGCUACACACACGGCCAAGAACAGACCACCCCCUUCCUGUCCCCACCCAACUCGGGAACCCGCCUUCAUCCUCGGCGGGCGGUAUUGGCCAUCAGACGCCCCAGCGCACAGCCCUCACCAUGGACUGGAGCUGUGGAGCCCCCUUCCUGGUGACAGUGGCUGCAGGUUCCCACUCGCAGGUCCAGAUGGUGCAGCCAGGGCUGAGCUGAGGAAGCCUGGGGCUUCAAUGAAGGUCUCCUGCAAGGCUUCUGGAUACACCUUCACCAGCUACUACAUAGACUGGGUGCGACAGGCCCCUGGACAAGGGCUUGGGUGGGUGGGAAGAACUGACCCUGAAGACGGUGAAACAAAGUAUGCACAGAAGUUCCAGGGCAGAGUCACCUUGACUGCAGACACGUCCACCAGCACAGCCUACGUGGAGCUGAGCAGUCUGAGAUCUGAGGACACGGCCGUGUGUUACUGUGCGAGAGACACAGUGUGACCACCCACGUCCUGAGUGUGACAGAAACCCUGAGGGACAGGGAGGCUGGGCUUGGCCGAGAUGAUGACAAAGCCACUUAGGUGGCUGCUGCCAUAGAAAGUGGGGCCAAGUGAUCGUUAAAAAGGAACAAUAGAAACGCGUACAUCCUAAUGACAUCGAAGCUGCCAUGAAACCCUGCUCUCUGAGCAAAUCCAAGGAGCGUCAAAGACUCGGAUGUGUGAAGGUGACAGAAACCUUCCCACGCAGACACUGGUGGGAGCAUAAAUAUCCAAAGUAUUUAGGUAAACACUGGGCGGCCCCUCCUCAUCCCAUGGUGUCUGUCUUACCCCCGGGAGACUGUCAGGCGCCUUCCAGACUUGUCGCUACACACAUUCCUUCCAGAAAGCUGAAGAGAGGUGCUUUUGGUCCACUCGAUGCCCGGAGUUCUACUCUUUUCAGUGUUUUGUAGCAGAUCAGUAGCAGAGUCUCAUCAUCAUGCUGUUUCCUGUUUCCUUCAUGAAAAAUCAAGUUGCAAACCUUGUCUCUCUUCUUUGUCUCCCCUUUCAGGCCCCGGGCCCAGGUCUGACUGGUUGCUUUCGUUGCUGUUGCUCAGCUGUAAGUUUCAUGUGUGCUCGUGACAGAAGCCCUUCACCAAACACGGCGUUUGAGAGUGUGUUCUCCACCUCGUGGCUUGUCUGUACGCCCUCAGCGUUCUUGCUGAGCUGUUGUUAUUCACAGAACGCGGCUUUUAAUUCAGAUGCAGAAAAA